rnacentral:rRNA from 1 species
CGCGUAGGCGGCCUUCUAAGUCAGACGUGAAAUCCCUCGGCUUAACCGGGGAACUGCGUCUGAUACUGGAGGGCUUGAAUUCGGGAGAGGGAUGUGGAAUUCCAGGUGUAGCGGUGAAAUGCGUAGAUAUCUGGAGGAACACCGGUGGCGAAGGCGGCAUCCUGGACCGAGAUUGACGCUGAGGCGCGAAAGCUAGGGGAGCAAACG